AGAACGAACGCUGGCGGCAUGCCUAACACAUGCAAGUCGAACGUGAUCCAUGACUUCGGUUGUGGCGAAAGUGGCAAACGGGUGAGUAACGCGUGGGAAUCUGCCCAGAGGUAGGGAAUAAACCGCGGGAAACUGCGGCUAAUACCCUAUGUGCCCUACGGGGCAAAGAUUUAUCGCCUUUGGAGGAGCCCGCGUCGGAUUAGGUAGUUGGUAGGGUAACGGCCUACCAAGCCUACGAUCCGUAGCUGGUCUGAGAGGAUGAUCAGCCACACUGGGACUGAGAUACGGCCCAGACUCCUACGGGAGGCAGCAGUGGGGAAUAUUGGACAAUGGGGGCAACCCUGAUCCAGCAAUGCCGCGUGAGUGAUGAAGGCCUUCGGGUUGUAAAGCUCUUUCGGCGGGGAAGAUGAUGACGGUACCGCAGAAGAAGCCCCGGCUAACUUCGUGCCAGCAGCCGC
rnacentral:rRNA from 1 species